AAGCCAAUGCAUGCUUUUACAGUAUGGAAAUUGGUGAUUUAUAAUAACUUGGCAAAUCGCAAAGUGAAAACAGGCGAUAAAUCAUUCAAGUUUCUGACCUAUCAGCUUUCGACGGUAUGGUAUUGGCUUACCGUGGCAGUGACGGUUAACGGGGGAUUAGGGUUCGAUUCCGGAGAGGGAGCCUGAGAAACGGCUACCACAUCUAAGGAAGGCAGCAGGCGCGCAAAUUACCCAAUUCUAACAGUUUGAGAGAGGUAGUAACAAGAAAUAACAAUACAAGGCAAUUAAAAUGCUUUGUAAUUGGAAUGAUAGAAAUUUAAACCCUUUUUAAAGUAUCAAUUGGAGGGCAAGUCUGGUGCCAGCAGCCGCGGUAAUUCCAGCUCCAAUAGCGUAUAUUAAAAUUGUUGCAGUUAAAAAGCUCGUAGUUGAAGUUCUGCUAAAAGUAACCGGUCUGCUUUUAAUAAAAGUGGUAUCUUGGUGUGUAUUUAGCAAUGAUGUCCUUUGAAGUGUUUUUUACUUUAUUGUAAUAAAGCAUAUUCAGGACUUUUACUUUGAGAAAAUUAGAGUGUUUCUAGCAGGCCGACGC
rnacentral:rRNA from 1 species